GACGAACGCUGGCGGCGUGCUUAACACAUGCAAGUCGAACGAAGUGGCGAACGGGUGAGUAACGCGUAAUCAACCUGCCCUUCAGAGGGGGACAACAGUUGGAAACGACGGCUAAUACCGCAUACUGAAGGAGGGGAUUGGGUCUGAUUAGCUGGGUGGAGGGGUAACGGCCCACCAAGGCGCAUAUCAGUAGCCGGUCUGUGAGGGUGAACGGCCCCAUUGGGACUGGGACCAGGCCCAGACUCCUACGGGGUGCAGCAGUGGGGAAUCUUCCGCAAUGGGCGAAAGUCUGACGGAGCAACGCCGCGGGAGUGAUGACGGCCUUCGGGUUGUAAAGCUCUGUUAAUCGGGACGCGGUACCGGAAUAGAAAGCCACGGCUAACUACGUGCCAGCAGCCGCGGUAAUAC
rnacentral:rRNA from 1 species